AAGCGGGGUCCAGCCGUAGUUGUUGCGGCUAUCCACAGAAGCCCCCUUUCGUAACAAAAACCGGACCAGGUUCUCAUGACCGCUGGCUGAGGCAAACUGUAGGGCGGUGUUCCCCUCUUCGUCCGUAGAAUCCACCGGUACCAGAGACAACAUGUCCGCAGUAUUGCACUCCGACCCGACUUCUGACCGCAGCCUGCUCUGCCUCCCGGACUCUUUUGGGGCUCCGGGCUCCAGGAUACCUCGGGCUGUUUCAUAGUCCCCUUCGUCGCAGGCACGGAAGAGCAGCAGCGAAUUAGCAGGGACACCGAAAUUCAUCUCCUCAUUUAAAGGUCGUCUCCGUUCCCAUUCAACUCCAGUUAGUUUUAUCGAAGGUGUUACCACUUAUCCAGUAAUUACCACAGCCUUGAGGACCCUUUAAAAGAAGUGUUUUUGGAUUCUGAAGACAUUGUGGAAAGUUGCUUGUAGAAUACGCUUGUUGCCAUUAGCAGUUGCUUGAAGAAACCACACAGCAUAUAUCCUAAAUUUACUUAACAAAAAUCAUGUAA